AUGAAUUUGCCAACAACAAUCGAUCACAACACAAUAACAGCAAAUCGGACCUGCAACCAAGAAAUUUCAAGACGGAAAAACAAAAGAACAUGCUUCAGGCAUUUCACCGAACACUUGGUGUGCAUAGCGCGAAACGAUAAAUUCAACAACAAUUCUUCACUAAUUCAUAAAUCACAACAUGCAACAAUAAUGAAUAACAACACAACAACGAUUCCACAUUGA